rnacentral:lncRNA from 1 species
AUUCAUUCCCUCUAGAGCGCUCGACAAAUGUUUACUGAGUGCCCACGGGGUGCCUAGAGCCUGGCGGGACGUCGCGGGGAUGCGGCUGGAGGAAUCGGAGCCGGCCCUGCCCUCUCGGCACUCGCGGUCCGGACCAGGAAGGCGGCCCGAGCAGGACGGGUGGGCUGCGGACCGCGGUGGGAAAAGUUGGGGGAGCGCGGAGGUGGCGCGGAAAUAGAAGGCUUCCUGGAAGCGGUGACCCUUGAGCCGGUCUUGCCCCUCAGUCCCUGUAUCCUUUUAAGCCAGCCACGCUGACCCCUCCGCGCCUCCCUGAAGCCGUUGCCAGCCUGUCUCUGCGCUCGCCAUUCCCUCCGCCUGGACCUCUCCCCACUCACCACCUCCCGCCCCCAUCAGACGCUGCUUUCUCCUCCCAGAGACCUCCAAGACCUGCCAAGCUGAGAGUCUCCCUAAGUCACUGAGGCUGGAGUACAGUGGCAUGAUCUCGGCUCACUGCAACCUCUGUCUCCUGAGUUCAAGCGAUUCUCCUGCCUCAGCCUUCCAAGAAGCUGGGAUUACAAGCGCCCACCACCACACCCGGCUAAUUUUUUUGUAUUUUUAGUGGAGACGGGGUUUUGCCAUAUUGGCCAAGCUGGUUUCGAAUUCCUGACCUCAGGUGAUCCACUGGCCUCGGUUUCCCCAAGUGCUGGGAUUACAGGUGUGAGCCACCACAGCCAGCCUAAAAAUAACUUUUUUAAAACAAACAUAAAUUUUAAAAUAACUUCUUUUAGGCAGUCCAUUCCAUGGAAUUGGUGGCACUGACCUCAUCUGAUGUCCCAGAAAGCUGGCCACAAAAGUUUCCAUCCCCCAUGACAGACAAACAGUUCUACUCUGGGGCAAUUCUCCCUGUGUCCAGACCACAAACGCCCCUGCCUGUUUGGUGCAUCUCAGCAGCAGAAAAUCACCAACCACAAAGCUUUCAGGACCGGCAUUUAAAAUCAACCCAAAGACACUCCCCUUCCACAUGCUCUGGGCUCCGUGCGAUCUUUCAUAGCGCAGCUCCACGCUCCUCCUCGCAGACGAGACUGGCAUUCAAACCAGGAAUUCUUCUGAGGGGCUCUGUGUGCAGGAAUACAAUCACCUCAAGCUCGUGUAAGAAGAAGAGAGCUCCAGUUACCAGGGCUUCCGAAGGCUUUUAAUAGAAAACAUUUGUGCCAAA